rnacentral:rRNA from 1 species
UACGGAGGGGGACUAGCGUUGUUCGGAAUUACUGGGCGUAAAGCGCACGUAGGCGGCUUUCUAAGUCGGAGGUGAAAUCCUGGAGCUCAACUCCAGAACUGCCUUCGAUACUGGAGCUUGAGUCCGGGAGAGGUGAGUGGAACUGCGAGUGUAGAGGUGAAAUUCGUAGAUAUUCGGAAGAACACCAGUGGCGAAGGCGGCUCACUGGCCCGGUACUGACGCUGAGGUGCGAAAGCGUGGGGGAGCAAACAGG